rnacentral:rRNA from 1 species
GAUGAACGCUAGCGGCAGGCCUAAUACAUGCAAGUCGAACGGUGUAGCAAUACACAGUGGCGCACGGGUGCGUAACACGUAUGCAACCUACCUAUCAUUGGGGGAUAGCCUUUGGAAACGGAGAUUAAUACCGCAUAAGACAGUAGCAUGGCAUCAUGCAGCUGUUAAAGCUUUGGCGAUGAUAGAUGGGCAUGCGUCCAAUUAGUUAGUUGGUGAGGUAACGGCUCACCAAGACGAUGAUUGGUAGGGGAUCUGAGAGGAUAAUCCCCCACGCGGGCACUGAGAUACGGGCCAGACUCCUACGGGGGGCAGCAGUAGGGAAUAUUGGGCAAUGGACGGAAGUCUGACCCAGCCAUGCCGCGUGCAGGAAGAAGGCGUUAUGCGUUGUAAACUGCUUUUUUGUAGGAAGAAGGAGACCUUGCGAGGUUUGGUGACGGUACUAUAAGAAUAAGCACCGGCUAACUCCGUGCCAGCCGCCGCCGUAACAC